rnacentral:rRNA from 1 species
CCUACGGGAGGCAGCAGUAGGGAAUUUUCGUCAAUGGGCGCAAGCCUGAACGAGCAAUGCCGCGUGAACGAGGAAGGUCUUCGGAUCGUAAAGUUCUGUUGAAGGGGAAAAAGAGCGGAGAGAGGAAAUGAACUCCGAUUGAUAUUACCCUUCGAGGCAGUCACGGCUAACUACGUGCCAGCAGCCGCGGUAAUACGUAGGUUGCGAGCGUUAGCCGGAAUGAUUGGGCGUAAAGGGUGCGUAGGCGGCCUGCUAAGUCUGGAGUGAAAGGUACCGGCUCAACCGGUACAGGCUGUGGAAACUGGCGGGAUAGAGAGCAGGGGAGGGCGGGGGAACGUCAUG